GACGAACGCUGGCGGCGUGCUUAACACAUGCGAGUCGAACGCUGAAGCUCAGCUUGCUGGGUGGAUUAGUGGCGAACGGGUGAGUAACACGUGAGUAACCUGCCCUCUUCUUUGGGAUAACGCCCUGAAACGGGUGGUAAUACUGGAUAUUCACUGAUUCUCGCAUGGGGGUUGGUGGAAAGGUUUUUUCUGGUGGGUGAUGGGCUCGCGGCCUAUCAGCUUGGUGGUGGGGUGAUGGCCUACCAAGUCGUUGGCGGGUAGCCGGGCUGAGAGGGUGACCGGGCACAUUGGGACGGAGAUACGGGCCAGACUCCUACGGCAGGCAGCAGUGGGGAAUAGUGCACGAUGGGAGAAAGCCAGAUGCAGCGGCGGCGCGUGAGGGAUGGAGGCCUGCGGGUUGUAACCCUCGUUCGCUAAUGGUCAAGCCGAAGCUUUGGGUUGUGGUGAGGGUAGUGGGUAAAGAAGCGCCGGCUAACUACGUG
rnacentral:rRNA from 1 species